rnacentral:piRNA from 1 species
UAAAAAGUGGUCCAGCCUACGUAUUGCUUCU